AGAGUUUGAUCAUGGCUCAGGAUAAACGCUGGCGGCGUGCCUAACACAUGCAAGUCGAACGCCCAAAUCGCAAGGUUUGGGAGUGGCGGACGGGUGAGUAACACGUGGGUUAUCUGCCUUUCGGUGAGGAAUACCGGCGAGAAAUCGCCGACAAAACCGCAUGAGUUUGUGAAAACAAAGAAAGUCGCAAGACGCCGAAA
rnacentral:rRNA from 1 species